rnacentral:rRNA from 1 species
GGAUUAGUGGCGAACGGGUGAGUAACACGUGGAUAAUCUGCCUUGCACUCUGGGAUAAGCCUGGGAAACUGGGUCUAAUACCGGAUAUGACUGCUUUUAGCAUUAUUAGUAGUGGAAAGUUUUCGGUGCAAGAUGAGUCCGCGGCCUAUCAGUUUGUUGGUGGGGUAAUGGCCUACCAAGACUAUGACGGGUAGCCGGCCUGAGAGGGUGAUCGGCCACACUGGGACUGAGAUACGGCCCAG